rnacentral:misc_RNA from 1 species
UAUGGUCCUCUUGCUUUUAACAUCUA